rnacentral:piRNA from 1 species
UGCCUGUACCCCAACUUGCUAGUGAAGA